GGAAAUCCCUGCCUCUCUGAGACCUGGUUUGCAGCAGCAACUGUCAAGCUCUGCAGGAAGAGGGCAUCCCCUUCACUCUGUCUUCUAAAGGUGUUCUUUGGUGCAAGCUAAUUUGCAUUCAGAACUCUAGCUGCAAGGAGGUCUGGGAAAUGCUUUCCAACUCUUGCAUUGGACCGAAGGAGAGGUCAAAUGGGCCAUUCCAGAGAGUUCGACUCACAGGGUAAUGCCAGUGGGUGCUGGAUGGCUUAAGUCAUUUGUGCAAUAUUGACUCUUCAGGAAAAGUUUGACUCGGAAACAUGUUACACGUUGGGUGGCCAGUUUUUAAAGUAGACAGGAGUGUCCCUGCUAAGCUGAGCUGAGAGGCUGGGCUUUAAUUGCAAGCGGCAAAAAGAAAGAAUGACUGCUUCUAUUUUGCUGAUGUGAUUCUUUUCCUGCUGUGGGCAAGAGAUGGCUGAUUGUUACAGAAAUGAGAGACGAGAUAGUUUUGCAGGG